GGUGAACGCUGGCGGCGUGCCUAAUACAUGCAAGUCGAGCGAACGGACGAGAAGCUUGCUUCUCUGAUGUUAGCGGCGGACGGGUGAGUAACACGUGGAUAACCUACCUAUAAGACUGGGAUAACUUCGGGAAACCGGAGCUAAUACCGGAUAAUAUUUUGAACCGCAUGGUUCAAAAGUGAAAGACGGUCUUGCUGUCACUUAUAGAUGGAUCCGCGCUGCAUUAGCUAGUUGGUAAGGUAACGGCUUACCAAGGCAACGAUGCAUAGCCGGCCUGAGAGGGUGAUCGGCCACACUGGAACUGAGACACGGUCCAGACUCCUACGGGAGGCAGCAGUAGGGAAUCUUCCGCAAUGGGCGAAAGCCUGACGGAGCAACGCCGCGUGAGUGAUGAAGGUCUUCGGAUCGUAAAACUCUGUUAUUAGGGAAGAACAUAUGUGUAAGUAACUGUGCACAUCUUGACGGUACCUAAUCAGAAAGCCACGGCUAACUACGUG
rnacentral:rRNA from 1 species